CCAGGAUAGUGGUGGCUCGACAUGAUGGAAACAUCAAGCCAAUUGUUGUUUCAGAGAUAGAGAAGGAGAUCAUUGUGGGGUAUGGCGACUGUGCCUAGAUGGCACUGUAUACGGUGCCAGCUUCUCCAUCACCGGUUGCUACUAUUGUUGUUGUAUUUGCUGCUAUUGAAGGCUGUACACUACCUCUAUCAGUAUUUUCACCUGCUGCACUAAGGCAGUAAAUUGCUAAGUGUUCGUGGUGC
rnacentral:lncRNA from 1 species